rnacentral:rRNA from 1 species
UACGUAGGCAGCGAGCGUUGUUCGGAGUUACUGGGCGUAAAGGGUGCGUAGGCGGCUUAUUAAGUCAGUGGUGAAAGCCCCAAGCUUAACUUGGGAACUGCCAUUGAUACUGAUGAGCUUGAGUAGAUUUGAGGCGGGCGGAAUGUGUCGUGUAGCGGUGAAAUGCUUAGAUAUGACACAGAACACCAAUUGCGUAGGCAGCUCGCUAAACUCUUACUGACGCUGAGGCACGAAAGCAUGGGGAUCAAACAGG